rnacentral:rRNA from 1 species
GAUGAACGCUGGCGGCGUGCCUAAUACAUGCCAGUCGAGCGAACAGACGAGGAGCUUGCUCCUCUGACGUUAGCGGCGGACGGGUGAGUAACACGUGGAUAACCUACCUAUAAGACUGGGAUAACUUCGGGAAACCGGAGCUAAUACCGGAUAAUAUAUUGAACCGCAUGGUUCAAUAGUGAAAGACGGUUUUGCUGUCACUUAUAGAUGGAUCCGCGCCGCAUUAGCUAGUUGGUAGGGUAACGGCUUACCAAGGCGACGAUGCGUAGCCGACUUGAGAGGGUGAUCGGCCAAACUGGAACUGAGACACGGUCCAGACUCCUACGGGAGGCAGCAGUAGGGAAUCUUCCGCAAUGGGCGAAAGCCGGACGGAGCAACGCCGCGUGAGUGAUGAAGGUCUUCGGAUCGUAAAACUCUGUUAUUAGGGAAGAACAAAUGUGUAAGUAACUAUGCACGUCUUGACGGUACCUAAUCAGAAAGCCACGGCUAACUACGUG